CUGCAGUGACUACUGUACUUGACUGCAGUACUGCCAGGAGCCACUAGAUGCCCCCAUAUCCAUGGAGCCAUCUCAUCACCUACCAGGACUGAGGAACAAUAGAGAGACUGCCCGGGAGGUUGUGUCUAUCAGAGGAACUAAGUGUGGAUAAAAAUGUGUACACAAUAAUGGCAACACAACCUCCUGGUUGAGGUCUCCAGGGAGCUCCAUAGCUGCCAAGCACAGCAAUCCGACAGUGGCAUCACAGUUCAAGGGACCUGACUGCGUAAAGAUGAGGAGCCGGAGAAUGCAAGUAGAAGAUAAUAGUAGUCCCUUGCAGUGUCCAGAAGAUGCCAUACACCACCUCUGUGGCACUCUAAUCCAAGAUGGGGACUUCAUUUGCAUCGGUGGGAAACAGACCAUGUCAGGUUAAACAGAGCACACACAGAGAGCAGCAUCCAUAAAAUCACUCAUGCUGCUGCUACUCCAACAGGAACAGAAAAGAUGUUACCAGGCCACAGGAAUCCAUGCAAAAGAACCUGGCAAUGGAGCAGCAGACUCUACUUGUCUAUGUCCAAAGCUCUUCUACACACUACUGUCAUAGACAGACCUAGCUGAAGUAUCAAAUGUAUCUAAAGCAGCACCACACAGAAAGUCUAUUCCUCUUUAUACGAUUUCCAGACUUUUUCAGCAAUGGCCAUAUUGAGUGUAUCUCCUGGGAAUCGGAGUACCUUGGCCACUGGAGCCAUACUUAUACGUGGUUUCCAUGUAGUUCCUGAAUAAAUAUGAACCGCGGGAUGUAAUGCAGUGCGAGUUUGCAGAAAUGUGCAAGUUUACCGCUAAACUCACACAUUUUGCAAACUUGACCAAUGUAAUAGGGUGCGAGAACAUGCAAACUCACAUGUUCCCUGUAAUCCCAAAACUUGCAAUGUUUUGCCACUGCAAUCAUACAACUCGGGCAAUGUAAUAGGAUGCAAGUUUACAACUCGCACCUAAAACAUUACCAAAAACUUCCCAAAAAAUAAAUCAGCUUCCGGCUGGAGAGUUUGACAGAAACAUGCACAGAUCAGUGAGAUCUGUGCAUGCUUCCGUCUGUAAAAGUAAAGAAAUAGUUAAAAGCCGGUACUUGUUGCUUUUUUACUAUUUAUUUACCUACUCACUGAUCUGUGCAUGCUUCUGUCAAACUCGCACAAAGUAAUGAAACACCACAUUACACUGUGCGAGUUUUCAAUCGCACAAGGUAAUAGCCUUGGCAGGCUACUACAUUGGGUGAGUUUGGGGACAAAUUUGCACCUUCUUAUGUGCGAGAAGAAGGUGCGGUUUUGUCCUGCAAAAAAAACCUUGCAAUACAUUACAUCGUAGCCGGAAGUUUUUGUAUAAAUAAUUAUUUAUUUAUGAGGACUCUUAAGGGGGGUACACAUGGGAGAUUUCUCCCAGAGAUGUUUGCUGGGCGAUCUAUCACAGACCGCUCAGCACACAUCUCCCCUUCCCGCUCAAUACAGCGUGAUGUGUGCUGAGCAAAGGGGGAGGAGGGAGAGGGGGGGGACACACCGCUCAUUUCACCCAGCAGUGAAAUUAGUGAUCUCAAUAGAUUGGGCAUGCAUGCAUGCCCAAUCUAGAGUUGCGACGAUAGCGACGUGCAGGGUUGCGCAUCGCUGUCGCCGGCACCCCUACGCACGGAGCGAUGUGUUCUUAAUUUCUAAGCAAUCUAGUCAGAUUGCUUAGAAAUUAAGUGAGCACUGCUCCGUGUGUACCCCCCUUUAGAGAAGCCCUGUCUUCAAUAGGACUUGUAGUUCUAUCAGUAAUGCUUGCAAUAGCUCCAUCUACUUUAUGGACCAGGCCUCAUUUCAGUAAUAUUUCAUCAUUAAAGGACACAUAUAUUCAAGUGUUUUAACAUUAGACUGAUGCUUUUCCACUUAUACCCAUUACUUAUGGAUUAACCCCUUCAGUGGUGACUAUUUUUACUAUGUCACACCUCUCAGGGUUGGUUUUUAAAUGAACUACCUGCUCGUUGCCAGGGGUUUCAUGCGCUGGGCGUCAUGCUCGUUGCUAGGGGUUCCAUGCUCUGGGAGCCAUGCUCGCUGCUAAGGGUAAUGCUCGUUGCCAAGGUUAAUGCUCUUUGCCAAGGUGGUGUACUUUUGCUGGCGGGCACUAGCCCACCAGCACUUAAAUCAUCUCCCCCUCGUACUCCGAUCGGGUGGCGGAGUGUUGCAGAAUGACGCAGUUGCAUCUUGACGUCACAAUGCAACUGCGUCAUUCAGAACUCCGCCCCCCAAGCGGAGUACGAGGGAGGAGGAGCAGUGGCAUGCCUCGGAUAUCUUCCGGGAUAGCCAGUCUCCCCAGUGCAGCUGGCCCUGGAGAUUUUCCAGGCAUGUCACUUAAGGGGUCAAAUCUUUUACAUCUUGAUGUGUCAGGCAUGGCUGUAACUAGGGUGGUGCAGACGGUGCUCGCACACAGCGCAUUUGCCCUGCGGUUGCAACCGGCUGUAUCCACCCACAAUUGACCUUUGUAAGUGAAACCUGCCAUGUACUGCCCGCUGAGUACUGUUGCGCCCGGUUCGCUCUCUGCUGGGUGCACCACUACCAUUACAGUACUGCAGCCCCCUGCCCAUGUGCUCUGCCCCCUCCCUCGUCUGCUGCACUGUCUCUUGAGACUGGGACAGACAUCAUGAUUUCUCUCCCAGUCCAUUCCUACAGUGUCCUGUGCUGAUACGCCACACAGUAAGCAGCCAACAGGCCUCAAGAGAAGAGGCCACAACUGUCAGAGGAAGAGGAAUGAGGUUAGCAGCACUACAGCUCCACGGGUGGGAGGGGAUGAAGAUGAGGAGAUGGAGGAAAUGAUGAUAAAUGAGGAGGAAUGAUGAUGAUGAUGAGGAGGAAUGAAGAGGAGGGGCUUUACUGUAGCAUAGUGUUUAUAAGGGGCUCUACUGUUACGCAAUGUGUAUAAAAGAGACUCUGGUGUGUGGUGUAAUGUGAAUAAACACAAUUGUGUGGUCAGGUGUAAAGUGUAUAAGGGGCUCUAUUGUGUGGUGUAAUGAGAAUAAUGGACACUACUAUGCUGUGUAAUGUGAAUUGGUACUAUUCUUGGCCAUGCCCCUUUCCCACAAAGUGACAGGCCUAUAUUCUUGGUGAUAUCCCUUUUCAAAUAUGGGGGGAAUAUGGGGGGAGGGACCAAUUUUCUUUCUGGCACAGGGCACCAAAAUGUCUACUUACAGCACUGGUGCCAGGCCGAUAUGGAGGAUGUUCUUGUUUCAUCCAUCCCUAAGGACUUAUUUAUGUUCUUCAGCAAGUUUAUCUUCUAGUUCUUCUGCAAAUUCCUUAGAUUAAUUAUUAGAGGAUCUUCUAAUGUUUCCGAAGAACCCCACUGUGAUUGGUUUCCAAUCUUACACUGUACAUUCACACUAGUCUCCUCCGUUGACGCCUUGCUUUGUACAAUUGUUCUCAUUACUGUUUCAUCCAAUUUAUAAAUGCUUUACACUGUU